rnacentral:rRNA from 1 species
UACGUAGGGUGCGAGCGUUGUCCGGAAUUAUUGGGCGUAAAGGGCUCGUAGGCGGUCUGUUGCGUCGGGAGUGAAAACUCAGGGCUUAACCCUGAGCCUGCUUCCGAUACGGGCAGACUAGAGGUAUGCAGGGGAGAACGGAAUUCCUGGUGUAGCGGUGAAAUGCGCAGAUAUCAGGAAGAACACCAAUGGCGAAGGCAGCUCUCUGGGACGGUACUGACACUGAGACGCGGAAGCGUGGGGAGCGAACAGG